UGCCCUAUAGUUCAGUGGUAGAACGACUGGCUGUUAACCAGUGUGUCGUAGGUUCGAGUCCUACUGGGGCAG
rnacentral:tRNA from 3 species